ACACACAACAGCGUAGUCGGGACCCUGCAGACCCGUCCCGGCUACACAAACAACCUUCCCUAGUCAUGGUGCAAAAAACAAAAACAAAAAAAAAACUCCAAACAACACAAAAUGUCAACAGAUACGGUCACACAUAACCCAACGUGGACUAGUGGACAAGGGACCACAGCAGAGGCCACGAUUCAGUUCUUUGGAAUGAUUUCACUGGAUUAUAAAAUGAACUUCCCUUCCGAAAAGGUACGCACUGAGCGCUAUUCUGGAUUCAUUGUAAAAAAAAAAAAGAAAAAUAUACAAGAUAUCUGUUUGAGAUGUUGUCAGAUGUUCCUGGCGUCUGCAGGCUGAGGGAGCGUGGAAGCAGCAGGUUUGAAUGGCAGCCACAGACUUAUGGACACUAACUACCAAUGACAAUGAAGACGGCUUUCUUUCCAUGUCAAUGACAUCCCCUGAGGUUCCAAACAGCAGCUAAUCUGCUGUGUGUGUCUGUGUGUUCUUGUAUUGCUACCCUUCUUGAGACAUGAAGAAGGAAAAGUAUCUUCCAUAUGAGGAGGUGUGAACAAGUGAUGACAUAAAUCAAUAACAUUGCA